rnacentral:rRNA from 1 species
UACGGAGGGAGCUAGCGUUAUUCGGAAUUACUGGGCGUAAAGCGCACGUAGGCGGCUUUGUAAGUUAGAGGUGAAAUCCUGGAGCUCAACUCCAGAAUUGCCUUUAAGACUGCAUCGCUUGAAUCCAGGAGAGGUGAGUGGAAUUCCGAGUGUAGAGGUGAAAUUCGUAGAUAUUCGGAAGAACACCAGUGGCGAAGGCGGCUCGCUGGACUGGUAUUGACGCUGAGGUGCGAAAGCGUGGGGAGCAAACAGG